UGAGGAAUAUUGGUCAAUGGGCGGGAGCCUGAACCAGCCAAGCCGCGUGAGGGAUGAAGGCCCUAUGGGUCGUAAACCUCUUUUGUCAGGGAACAAAAGCGAGUAUGUAUACUGGUCUGAGUGUACCUGAAGAAAAACGCAUCGGCUAACUCCGUGCCAGCAGCCGCGGUAAUACGGAGGAUACGAGCGUUAUCCGGAUUUAUUGGGUUUAAAGGGUGCGUAGGCGGCGGUGCAAGUCAGCGGUAAAAGCCCGGGGCUCAACCCCGGCGAGCCGUUGAAACUGCAGUGCUAGAGAAGGCGAGAGGUACGCGGAAUGCGCAGUGUAGCGGUGAAAUGCUUAGAUAUUGCGCAGAACUCCGAUUGCGAAGGCAGCGUACUGGCGCCUGACUGACGCUGAGGCACGAAAGCGUGGGGAUCGAACAGGAUUAGAUACCC
rnacentral:rRNA from 1 species